CUUAUAGUUUUUUCCCAUCCUAUGACAUUAUUUUCAAUACUUUUAACAACUUUCCUAAACUCUUAACACAGUUAGCACAACAUCCAUCUGUGUAGGCUAUACAAUUAACACAUUUCUUGUUGCUUUGACACAAAACUCAUUCAGUUAACACAGAUUUAAAAUGCUUGAACUUCUUUUACACACAAGCUCAAC